CAAAACGGAGCUAGGCUAGUCGGACGAAAUUUCUUUGGAUAUAAAAAGAGGGAUCCACCGUGUGAUACUUUACUUUCGUUCGGGCAGCUUCGAUUCCAAGCCUUUUCCCGCUCUCUUCAUUCCAUUUCGCAGAUUUUAAAAAUCGCCAUGCAAGAAUCCGAUCCCGUUUGUGGUUGCCAUCUCUCCUACUGCACUUACUGCAAUCCACGAGCGCACUAAUUCCCGGAGCAAGGUAAUAGAGAAAGAUUUAAGUGUGUGUUGAUUGAAUCAUGAAAUAAUUGACGUAAUGUAAUUAUUUCAUUGGACACCAGGUUCGACAUCAUCUGGAUCGAGAAGCCUGAUAUGCGACAAGACGGCAGGGGAAAAUCCUUAAUUACGUAUUACUCUUACAAUUCGUUUAAUCUAACAUUACGGUGAAAGCUAAAAAAUAAGAAUAUAUUGUCUCAAUGAUGCGGCCCUCAACACCACACGCAAUAUUGAAUUCCACAUUCUAUUAACUUGUAUUACUUUGUAUAGUCAAAUGAAGCUGACACGCACUCUUAUUAAGCGUAAUGAUUAUUCCCAAUUUCACUUGCGCGUUGUCUCUCAAUACAUUUGUUAAUCGAUAA